GGCUCAGAUUGAACGCUGGCGGCAUGCCUUACACAUGCAAGUCGAACGGCAGCGGACCUUCGGGUGCCGGCGAGUGGCGAACGGGUGAGUAAUACAUCGGAACGUACCUUCAGUGGGGAUAACGUAGCGAAAGUUACGCUAAUACCGCAUAUUCUGUGAGCAGGAAAGCAGGGGAUCGCAAGACCUUGCGCUGAUUGAGCGGCCGAUAUCAGAUUAGCUAGUUGGUGAGGUAAAGGCUCACCAAGGCGACGAUCUGUAGCGGGUCUGAGAGGAUGAUCCGCCACACUGGAACUGAGACACGGUCCAGACUCCUACGGGAGGCAGCAGUGGGGAAUUUUGGACAAUGGGCGCAAGCCUGAUCCAGCCAUGCCGCGUGAGUGAAGAAGGCCUUCGGGUUGUAAAGCUCUUUCGGCCGGGAAGAAAUCGCACAGGUUAAUACCCUGUGUGGAUGACGGUACCGGAAUAAGAAGCACCGGCUAACUACGUG
rnacentral:rRNA from 1 species